UACGUAGGGCGCAAGCGUUGUCCGGAAUUAUUGGGCGUAAAGAGCUCGUAGGCGGCUUGUCACGUCGAUUGUGAAAGCCCGAGGCUUAACCUCGGGUCUGCAGUCGAUACGGGCUAGCUAGAGUGUGGUAGGGGAGAUCGGAAUUCCUGGUGUAGCGGUGAAAUGCGCAGAUAUCAGGAGGAACACCGGUGGCGAAGGCGGCUUUCUGGGCCUUACCUGACGCUGAGGAGCGAAAGCUGGGGGAGCGAACAGG
rnacentral:rRNA from 1 species